rnacentral:sRNA from 1 species
AUUGCAAUCGAGCGAUAGGUCUGGCACCCCAGCUUCCUUCCUUCGGAACCACUCCUGAGUGACCUUGGGCAGGCUACCUCGUCUCCCCGAGCCUUAGUUUUCCCCGGCGGAGAGGGGCGGACAGUCCCUGGUUUAGAGGUCAUUGCCAGGGUUGUUGAGGCAACAGAUGUUUGGAGGGCGGUGGGUGAGGGUCGGGUUAAAGUCUCACAGUGGGCCGGGUGCGGUGGCUCACGCCUGUAAUCCCAGCGCUUUGGGAGGCUGAGGCGGGCGGAUCACGAGGUCAGGAGAUCGAGACCAUCCUGGCCAACAUGGUGAAACCCCGUCUCUACUAAAAAUACAAAAAUUAGUUAGGCGUGGUGGUGCGCGCCUGUAGUCCCAGCUACUUGGGAGGCUGAAACAAGAGAAUCGCUUGAACGGGGGUGGAUGUUGCAGUGAGCCAAGAUGGUGCCACUGCACUCCAGCCUGGCAACAGUGCGCAGAGCCAACGCCGUCUCAAAACAAAAGUCUCACAGUGGCCCAGCCUCUUUUCCUGCCAUCCCUGGAGUUGUGGUCUGUUUGAGGUUUGAUUUUCAGGACUGAAGCUUCAAGAUGGCUGACCAGGACCCUGCGGGCAUCAGCCCUCUCCAGCAAAUGGUAGCCUCAGGCGCCGGGGCUGUGGUCACCUCCCUCUUCAUGACACCCCUGGACGUGGUGAAGGUUCGCUUGCAGUCUCAGCGGCCCUCCAUGGCCAGCGAGCUGAUGCCUUCCUCCAGACUGUGGAGCCUCUCCUAUGCCAAAUGGAAGUGCCUCCUGUACUGCAAUGGUGUCCUGGAGCCUCUGUACCUGUGCCCAAAUGGUGCCCGCUGUGCCACCUGGUUUCAAGACCCUACCCGCUUCACUGGCACCAUGGAUGCCUUCGUGAAGAUCGUGAGGCACGAGGGCACCAGGACCCUCUGGAGCGGCCUUCCCGCCACCCUAGUGAUGACUGUGCCAGCUACCGCCAUCUACUUCACUGCCUACGACCAACUGAAGGCCUUCCUGUGUGGUCGAGCCCUGACCUCUGACCUCUACGCACCCAUGGUGGCUGGCGCGCUGGCCCGCCGUGAGCAUAAUCUUGGGCCUUUGACCUCCCUCUGUCCCCACCUCUGCCCAAGCCCAGUCAGUCCCAGCUCCCAGCCCCAACCUCUGCCAGCCUGGGGGUGGGGGGGUGUUCUAGGUCCCCAGACCUGGGGCAGCAGGUAGGUGAUGCCAUGUAAGACCUGUGACCUCACUUCUCCCCAUUGUCACCCCCAAUCCCCGCACAGUGGGCACCGUGACUGUGAUUAGCCCCCUGGAGCUUAUGCGGACAAAGCUGCAGGCUCAGCAUGUAUCAUACCGGGAGCUGGGUGCCUGUGUUCGAACUGCGGUGGCUCAGGGUGGCUGGCGCUCACUGUGGCUGGGCUGGGGCCCCACUGCCCUUCGAGAUGUGCCCUUCUCAGCCCUGUACUGGUUCAACUAUGAGCUGGUGAAGAGCUGGCUCAGUGGGCUCAGGCCGAAGGACCAGACUUCUGUGGGCAUGAGCUUUGUGGCUGGUGGCAUCUCAGGGACGGUGGCUGCAGUGCUGACUCUACCCUUUGACGUGGUAAAGACCCAACGCCAGAUCGCUCUGGGAGCGAUGGAGGCUGUGAGAGGUAAGGGCCCAGACUGCCGUGGCAGGGGACAGGUGGGGUCCUGAAUGGGGUCUCUGAGCCGGCCUCACGUUUGCAGUGAACCCCCUGCAUGUGGACUCCACCUGGCUGCUGCUGCGGAGGAUCCAGGCCGAGUCAGGCACUAAGGGACUCUUUGCAGGUCAGUGUGUGGGUGUUGGGGUGGGGGCGGGGCUGACCUGCGACCUGACCUCUGACCCGGGCCUCCUUUCCACUGCAGGCUUCCUUCCUCGGAUCAUCAAGGCUGCCCCCUCCUGUGCCAUCAUGAUCAGCACCUAUGAGUUCGGCAAAAGCUUCUUCCAGAGGCUGAACCAGGACCGGCUUCUGGGCGGCUGAAAGGGGCGAGGAGGCAAGGACCCCGUCUCUCCCACGGAUGGGGAGAGGGCAGGAGGAGACCCAGCCAAGUGCCUUUUCCUCAGCACUGAGGGAGGGGCUUGUUUCCCUUCCCUCCCGUUGACAAGCUCCAGGGCAGGGCUGUCCCUCUGGGCGGCCCAGCCGUUCCUCAGACACAACUUCUUCAUGCUGCUCCAGUCGUGGGGAUCAUCACUUACCCACCCCCCAAGUUCAAGACCAAAUCUUCCAGCUGCCCCCUUUGUGUUUCCCUGUGUUUGCUGUAGCUGGGCCUGUCUCCAGGAACCCAGAGGCCCUCAGUCUGGCGUAGUCUCCCUGACCCUUGUUAAUUCGUUAAGUCUAAAGAUGAUGAACUUCU